UACGAAGGGUGCAAGCGUUACUCGGAAUUACUGGGCGUAAAGCGUGCGUAGGUGGUUUGUUAAGUCUGUUGUGAAAGCCCCGGGCUCAACCUGGGAAUGGCAAUGGAUACUGGCAGGCUAGAGUGCGGUAGAGGGUAGUGGAAUUCCCGGUGUAGCGGUGAAAUGCGCAGAUAUCGGGAAGAACACCCGUGGCGAAGGCGGCUCUCUGGGACGGUACUGACGCUGAGACGCGAAAGCGUGGGGAGCGAACAGG
rnacentral:rRNA from 1 species